GCAAAGGGAAGUCAUGUCUCUUGAUUAGGAUGCAGACUUCUGUUGUCCAGUAGAUUGGCAUUUCACCUGGCAUACCCUGCCUACUGUACAUGAAACAAUUAUUUAGCUCCAAACACAGGUUUUGACAUUUCUCGGCCAUGAAUGAUAGAUUUGGGAUCCAAGAUGGACUAAGGGUCUGGGUCAUAGAAACACUGACAAGAAACAGAUGCUGUUUAACUUGGUCCCACCUUGCACAACAUGGGUGGAUGCCAAGUGUUAACACUCGCAGCACAGAAGUAAAUAUGCACUAGCACUAGUUGCUUCUGUUAAACAAUGGUUUUAGAUGGCAGUCACAACACCCUUAUCUAUCUUAUGUUUCUGGUAAUGAUCCAAUUAGUCUAAUGCGUGGGUCAUGCUUAACAAUCAUUAUCUUUGUUAGCUUUGCCUAGAAUAAUGCCCAGGAUUUUUCACUAAGGUUUCUAGUAGGCCAUUCUCCUGACUUUCCUCUUGCUCACUCCAUCAGCAUCCCACCCCUAAAUCACUAUCCUUGCUGGCGCUUGUACCAGCUACAAGAGUCAAGGGUUAUAAUCUGACAGUAUGUAAGGGCAAUCGCUAGUCUGGAUUUUCUGGCUAUUAUAAACAACGUAGGAGAGUGCUUUAAAGAGCAGGGAGAACUUGGUGGUAAAGAAGCUGGUCCAUAACAGUUUGGAGCUCUGCUUUGCUCCCUCUCCCUUUACAACUGAAAGGACUAAGCCUGAGCUCAUGAGAGAGGCUUGCUGGGAUGUAAAGAAGUCCCGGAGUCCAGGGCAAUGGGCUAGAAGGAAGUGGCCAAUUGCUAACUUGAUGCUGGAGGGAAGGGGCAUGAAGGCUCUCCUUAGUUAACUUUCAGGCAGGGAGGAUCCUGAGUUAAGGGAAAGGAUUAGACUUCUAUGGAGAACUCUUUUACUGUGAUGAGAAGGGAGUAAGAUCCUGGGUUUCCACACGCUAGAUGCUUACUGGUGUCAGCUGGCAAGACUGUGCCUGUGUCCAGCUGAACGUACUGAAUCCUGAACUUCUGUGACUGGACCAACCACAAUCUAUUCCCAUCAGAGAUGCACCUUUCAUAGCUCCUUGGACUAACCUUGACCUGUACUCCAACAUAUUUUUUACAAACUAUUAAAAACUGGAGGGACAGGAGCAAAGAGGAAAAAUCUCAGAUGAGAAUUUAUAUGAGGUUUGAAUAGAAUGUAAAUCAUUUGCUUGGGGCGAC